CGCGGGGCAACCUGGCGGCGAGUGGCGAACGGGUGAGUAAUAUAUCGGAACGUACCCUGGAGUGGGGGAUAACGUAGCGAAAGUUACGCUAAUACCGCAUACGAUCUAAGGAUGAAAGUGGGGGAUCGCAAGACCUCAUGCUCCUGGAGCGGCCGAUAUCUGAUUAGCUAGUUGGUGGGGUAAAGGCCUACCAAGGCAUCGAUCAGUAGCUGGUCUGAGAGGACGACCAGCCACACUGGAACUGAGACACGGUCCAGACUCCUACGGGAGGCAGCAGUGGGGAAUUUUGGACAAUGGGCGCAAGCCUGAUCCAGCAAUGCCGCGUGAGUGAAGAAGGCCUUCGGGUUGUAAAGCUCUUUUGUCAGGGAAGAAACGGUGGAGGCUAAUAUCCUUCUGCUAAUGACGGUACCUGAAGAAUAAGCACCGGCUAACUACGUGCCAGCAGCCGCGGUAAUACGUAGGGUGCAAGCGUUAAUCGGAAUUASYGGGCGGAAAGCGCGCGCAGGCGUGUUUGUCUGUCGGKAAUGAACCCCCCGGGCCCAAGGAGGGACGUGCGAUGGAGAMUGCAWGGCUAGAGGCUGGCGGGGGGGGAUAGACUUGCGCGGCUAUCAAWGAAGUGCGUAGGUGGRUGGAGGACCACCGCGGGCGAAGCCCCCCCGGCGRGCUAUGACGCUCGCGCACGCACGCGUGGGGGGGAAGCAAGCUUAGAUACCCUCGUAGUCCGCGCCCUAACUGAUGUCUACUAGUUGUCGGGUCUUAAUUGACUUGGUAGCGAAGCUAACGCGUGAAGUAAACCGCCUGGGGAGUACGGUCGCAAGAUUAAAACUCAAAGGAAUUGACGGGGACCCGCACAAGCGGUGGAUGAUGUGGAUUAAUUCGAUGCAACGCGAAAAACCUUACCUACCCUUGACAUGGCAGGAAUUCCCGGAGAGAUUGUGGAAGUGCUCGAAAGAGAACCUGCACACAGGUGCUGCAUGGCUGUCGUCAGCUCGUGUCGUGAGAUGUUGGGUUAAGUCCCGCAACGAGCGCAACCCUUGUCAUUAGUUGCUACGAAAGGGCACUCUAAUGAGACUGCCGGUGACAAACCGGAGGAAGGUGGGGAUGACGUCAAGUCCUCAUGGCCCUUAUGGGUAGGGCUUCACACGUCAUACAAUGGUACAUACAGAGGGCCGCCAACCCGCGAGGGGGAGCUAAUCCCAGAAAGUGUAUCGUAGUCCGGAUUGUAGUCUGCAACUCG
rnacentral:rRNA from 1 species